GUUCCGUAGGUGAACCUGCGGAAGGAUCAUUAAAGAAUGCACCGCUUUUCGAAAUGGGUUCUAUUCCCAAACCGUGUCUACAUACCUUUGUUGCUUUGGCGGGCCGCCUUAGGGCGUUGGCCUCGGCUAACUGUACCCGCCAGAGGACCCAAACUCGUUUUGUUUAGUGAUGUCUGAGUACUAUAAAAUAGUUAAAACUUUCAACAACGGAUCUCUUGGUUCUG
rnacentral:misc_RNA from 1 species